rnacentral:lncRNA from 1 species
AUUUGGUUGAAUGGGUGUUUUAUUCUUCUUUGAAAGGUUGGGCUCUCAAUUAAUGUCAUUUUCCAAUUAACUGUGUAUGUGAACCAUACAAAUAUGAUAUUCUUUAUUUCUCUAUUAUUGCAUGGGAAAAGGCCAGGAUUCAGUUAUAAAAUCUAUUCAUGUGUUUCGGUAGUACACUGCUUUAUAUAUUCUGUUUAUCUGAAAUCAGAAUAAAUUGCAUAAACGUGACAUGUUAUAGGGAC